rnacentral:rRNA from 1 species
GAUGAACGCUGGCGGCGUGCCUAAUACAUGCCAGUCGAGCGAACAGACGAGGAGCUUGCUCCUCUGACGUUAGCGGCGGACGGGUGAGUAACACGUGGAUAACCUACCUAUAAGACUGGGAUAACUUCGGGAAACCGGAGCUAAUACCGGAUAAUAUAUUGAACCGCAUGGUUCAAUAGUGAAAGACGGUUUUGCUGUCACUUAUAGAUGGAUCCGCGCCGCAUUAGCUAGUUGGUAAGGUAACGGCUUACCAAGGCAACGAUGCGUAGCCGACCUGAGAGGGUGAUCGGCCACACUGGAACUGAGACACGGUCCAGACUCCUACGGGAGGCAGCAGUAGGGAAUCUUCCGCAAUGGGCGAAAGCCUGACGGAGCAACGCCGCGUGAGUGAUGAAGGUCUUCGGAUCGUAAAACUCUGUUAUUAGGGAAGAACAAAUGUGUAAGUAACUAUGCACGUCUUGACGGUACCUAAUCAGAAAGCCACGGCUAAAUACGU